UUCUGUUUUUGUUUUGUUUUGUUUUUAAAGCCCUUGUACCUGAAAGUUUUGUUGUUUAAUUGAUUUUUUUUCUUGGAAGAAUAUAGAUAAGGAACUCACAAGCAAAUAAACACUGAGGCUACAGUCCAGGUAUUUAUGGAAUGCCAAUCCUAUCUGGGGCAAAGACCUUCUAAGUGGUUAUCCUCCUGAAAAAAUACCCAGUCAGAGCUACUAGAAGAAGAAGGCAAAGGUCUUUGCACUGUCAAAGAGUUUCUACAGAGUCUGUCAACUCCGUGGCCAUCCUCAGGAUUUGUCUCACUGUGAAGACCGCUCUGUGCCUCUCUGGGCAUAUCCGAAAAGUGAGGUCUCAACACACCCUGUUCCUAGCCUACCAUUUGCAUGCCCAAUAUCAGUGUUCCACUCUGAAAGAAUGAGAAACAUUUAAUUAACUAAUGAAGUGGGUAAUGGGUACCUCAGCAGUAGAGACUUUCUGCACUCCAGUGAUUAGUUUUGGGGUUUCAUCCAAAACCCAAUAAGAGAACUCUUCAGUGCCGUUAGAGAAAGACAAGCAUUUCCAAGAAAAAGGAAAAAUUGAAUAUCUGCAUUUUCAGCAGUGACUAGUAUUGGUUAUUCCUCAGUUUUGAAGUUCACAAGCAGAGAAUUCAAAGGAAACAUUGGAAGGAAGUCCAAAUGAAAAGGGGCCCCAAUUUCAGGUUGAUGGUAUUUUCUGCUAUUUAAACUCCUCUUUUGAUGUAUCUCCAGUCAGGCAUCUGAAUCACUAGUCAUUUUAGAACUCUCCGGCUCAUUCUUUUCUUUAUUCCUCAUCUUUUUCUCUUUUCCUCUUCUCUUUUGUAUUAAGGUCAAAUCCUGCUUCUCCUGAUGCCAAUAAUAAAACUCCCAUUGAUUUCAACAUGAGCAGGAAAUAUGCAGUUUGCUAUUUACCACAACCACCACAAUGAAUCUCUGGGAAGAAUUCAUUUACAUUCAUUCCAACGAUACCAUGAAAAAUGGGCUCUUGCUAUUUUAUCACAUCCAAACUGUUGCUCUAACUCUAACGUCCUAGCUGUUGCUAACAAGUCAGUGAUGAUUUGUAAACCAACAAUUUAUGGUAACCACAUUCCAUCCCCAUUAUGAUGUGUGGUUUGGAAAUGGAAAAGUAAUCAAGACCUCCUGUUAAGAGACUUUAUUUCAGUUGAAUGUUUCUGUAAAUAAAAGCAUUUUGAAAG